rnacentral:misc_RNA from 1 species
GAUGAAGAACGUAGCGAAAUGCGAUAAGUAAUGUGAAUUGCAGAAUUCAGUGAAUCAUCGAAUCUUUGAACGCACAUUGCGCCCGCCAGUAUUCUGGCGGGCAUGCCUGUCUGAGCGUCAUUUCAACCCUCAUGCCCCUAGGGCGUGGUGUUGGGGAUCGGCCAAAGCCCGCGAGGGACGGCCGGCCCCUAAAUCUAGUGGCGGACCCGUCGUGGCCUCCUCUGCGAAGUAGUGAUAUUCCGCAUCGGAGAGCGAUGAGCCCCUGCCGUUAAACCCCCAACUUUCCAAGGUUGACGUCAGAUCAGGUAGGAAUACCCGCUGAACUUAAGCAUAUCAAUAAGCUGAGGA